ensembl:lncRNA Novel transcript
AGAGCAUGAUUUGCAAGAGGAACUGCUACACAUUUUACACUUAUUUACUCCAACCUUUCCUGCUAAUUCCAGGUUUAUUGGAGAAGACAGAAUGACUGAUGACAGAAGCACCUGCGAUCUUCUUCUUGUGCUGUGGGCUUCAGGGGAAUCCAAGAGUUCCUGGCAAAGAGGAUCUAAUGAAGACUGACAUUGAUCAAUAAAGGCAUGGGGUUAAAAGAGCAACAAUAAGAAUACCUUAAAGUUGUACUCAGAAGAUAGGAGCUAUCUCUGCUUCCUUUCAGAAACAUCAUUAUUACCUUGAAUCAGAGCCUGCCAGAAGCAUUUUGCACAACAAUUGUAAGAAGAGACUGAAACUUCAGAAACACUUUUAGCAGUAAACACUGGUGAUGAUGCAGUGUUUUCCUGUGCAUAAAAAUUCAUAUAUUUAUUUGCAGAUAUUCAAGUGCACCUAGGGAAAAGAAUCCCAGCAACAGAAUUUCUUGUUCAAAACUUUGGUAUUUUAAAAUCACAUUGUAGAUCUGCAUUUCCAAACAACAACCAAAACUGCUGGAUGCAAGGUGGCUGCUUACACUACAGACCUGUUACAUAUAUUCCAACCCCAUAAUGCUAGGGGUUUACAAGGAUAAUAUUUGUGAACUUUCACAUUCUAUGUAGCGGUCACAAUGAAGUCCUCUAAAGGCAUCCUUUGAUGGAAGCAAUUUGGACGUUUAUGAUGGCUCAAAGCAAGGUUCCAAGCAAUGAGACUACAUUAGUGUAGAUCACCAAUAUAAAUAGAACAGCUAUCAUAUCAUAUCAGUUCUGUCCACAGCACGUGAGUAGGAGAAGUUCUGAAAUAAGAUCAUCAGGAACAAAGAAAGGAGUAUUUCAGAAUAUAUUCAGUUGAUUCCAGAGGUAGCCAAUCCUGCUUGAUUGAAUGUUUGCAAAAUUCAAUUCUCUGUUUGCAGAUUUAGGUACAGCAGGUCUUUGAAUAACAGUCAUUUCAUUCAACAUUGUUUCCUUAUAACGUUGAUGAGAAAAAAAGAAUAUAUAUAUACAUAUAUAUUCCCACUGGGGUUCACUGUCUGGGUAGAGUCUACAUGUUUUCCCCAGGUCUGGAUGGGUUUUUUUCUGGGUACCCAGGUCUCCCUGACAUUCCAAAGUUAUGCACAUUCAGUUCAUCUAAUGGUCCCAGUCAGAGUGAGUGCGGGGGGUCAGUGAGUACACCUGGUGAUACUACCUGUGUAGGGAUGGUUGUUUCCUGUCUGGUGUCCUAAGCUGCAGGGAGAAGCUCAGGCCACCUGCAACCCUAAACUGGAAUAAGCAGAUCUCGAUGGAAAGUUCAAGACAAAAUCAGUUUAAGAAUUUAGAAAAUCUUAUCGCUUCUCGGCCUUUUGGCUAAGAUCAAAUGAAGAAUUUAGAAAAUCUUGGGACUUCUUUAUUCCAUCUGUGCAUACGGUACUAUUUAUAAUUUGGGGGUUGGGCUUCUGGUUUGUAUUAUAUUUAGUUUUAUAUAAGUCAGAGACUAUAUGCCUAAAUCAACAUAUGCCCAGUGGUUGAAUGGUGGGCUCAAUUUUUUCCAGUGAAAAUAUAUUGCUUGGAAAACAAAGUAACUGACUCAAUUUUAUGAUGGCUAAAUCCAAAUUUCUUAAAUUGUAUACUUUCUCUGUCAAUCAAUAUCGAUGUUUUAAAAUUAAUAUCAUGCCCUUACAAAAUGAUCCUUAUAUCAACUGCAUUUGCAUGUUUUUGUUUGUUUGAUGACAAAGUCUUGCUCUGUCACCCAGGCUGGAGUGCAGUGGCACAGUCUUGGCUCACUGCAAUCUCUGCCUUCCGGGUUCAAGCGAUUCUCCUGCCUCAACCUCCUGAGUAGCUAGGAUUACAGGGGCAUGCCACCACGCCUGGCUAAUUUUUGUGUUUUUGGUAGAGACAGGGUUUCACCAUGUUGGCCAGGCUGUUCUCAAACUCCUGACCUUAGGUGAUCCACCCGCCUUGGCCUCCCAA